UGUUUCAUAAAUGUUUUGUUUGUCAACAUGCCUCAAGAAAUAAAAGAAAAAGGGAUUCAGAAGGGAACAGUGGAUGUACAUCUACAAUUGAUAUUAAAAUUUAAAAAAAUAAUAAAGCAACACGGAAAAAUGAUCAAUUUUUAAAAGAAAACCAACCUUUGGCAGGUAUUGUUAAAAUAAAAAUUAAUCAUAACCAUGCAGUUGAUACUUUUGUAUAUCUUAAACUAUUAAGAAUAGAUGACCAAAUUCGACACCAAUACUAUGGGUGUUUUUGAAGGUGGUAGACAAUGGUACAGUGAAAACAUCUUGUCGAACUUGCAGUUUACACUUGAUAACGGUUGGAGAUACUUACCAACCGAAACGUCGUGUUACAUUAAAUAAAUAAGACAAUGCAAGUUCGACAAGAUGUUUUCAAUACUAUGGGUAUUUUGAAGGUGGACUAGGAGUUAGCGAGAGUAUUAGGCAAUUUCAAAAUAAGAAUCUUUUAAGCAUUCUUUCUACAGAUUUGCCAGAGAUGACGGCCAAUGCUAGACUAAAUCCAACGUAUAAUAUGCUGAAAAAAUGUUUAUAACAGAUGGAGAAAUGAUAAUUUUGGAUAGUGUUAAAAGAUUAAAGGAGAAAAUAACAUAUUACACCGAAAAACGUAUAACAAUUUAUACAACAGAUGAAGAUCAACAUCCUUGGGCAAUUUUGGUGGUUACGCCUAUAAUGAAGAAGUGUCAAGAACUGGUUUACUCUAGAGAAGUUAUUUUUAUAGAUACCACUUACAGUAUAGAUGCUAAUCAUUCUUCUCUAUCAUUUUGACAGCUUCUAAAGCUGGUGCUCUUCCCUUAUGUAUGCUAGGUCAUGAGGAGCAAACUGAGGAAAGUUAUACAAAAGCUUUUCUAUUACUGAAAAGCUCUAACAACAAACCUUUUGGUACAUGUGAGCAUCCAUAUAGCUUUCAUGACCGACCACUCAGCUGGAGAAAAAAAUGCAUUGAAAACGGUCUGGCCAGGGUCACGACAAUUGCUAUGCCAUUUUCAUGUUGCCCAGGCAGAAUGGCGUUGGUUAAUGUCCGCUAAAAACGGAAUUCCUGGAGAUAUAAGGCAAACUUACAUGAAGGCCUUUAAAAAAGUACAAUAUUAUAUCAUAUUUCAACUUGUCACCAAAUAAGUUUUCCUAUGACUACCAGUUUUCAUCAAAAUGGAAACUGUUUGAUUUAUUAUUAUCAUAUUGAUAAUUUUGGCCUUUUAUAAAAGUGCAAAAGAAUGAGUAAUAUCAUGAAGCAAAGUUCGAUAACAUGUGUGUAG